rnacentral:rRNA from 1 species
GCUGGCGGCGUGCUUAACACAUGCAAGUCGAGUGCGCGCCUGUAGCAAUACAGGUGGCGCACGGCGCACGGGUGCGUAACACGUGGGUAAUCUGCCCUUUGAUGGGGAAUAACUCGCCGAAAGGCGAGCUAAUUCCGCAUAAUAUUCCGGAAACUUAUGUUUCUGGACUGAAAGGCGUAAGUCGUCGGAGGAGGAGCCCGCGCACGAUUAGCUAGUUGGUAGGGUAAUGGCCUACCAAGGCUUUGAUCGUUAGCUGGUCUGAGAGGAUGGCCAGCCACACUGGAACUGAGACACGGUCCAGACUCCUACGGGAGGCAGCAGUGGGGAAUCUUGCACAAUGGGCGAAAGCCUGAUGCAGCGACGCCGCGUGGGGGAUGAAGCUUCUCGGAGUGUAAACCCCUUUCGAUCCGGACGAAUGCCCGCAAGGGAGUGACGGUACGGAUAUAAGAAGCCCCGGCUAACUACGUGCCAGCAGCCGCGGUAAUACGUAGGGGGCCAAGCGUUGUUCGGAAUUACUGGGUGUAAAGGGUUCGUA